rnacentral:pre_miRNA from 1 species
AUAAUGCCAAUCCCGAAAACUGUUUUUUCUUGGUGCUUAGAGUCCUUCUUUUUUGUCGUCUAGCACCAUGAAAAAGCAGUCUUUGUGGUUGGUAUGUAC